GCAGGACUCAAGAGAACUCGAAAGACCAGUCAGUGGGGAAGACAAAAUGUCAUUCACAUCCUGGCAGCCUUCCCAUUACGGUCUCAGGCAGGGGAGAGGGUCCUGUAGUCUGGGCCCGUGUCACCGCACACCUUCAGACCGCACACAUCAUGGACCUGCUCCCAUUAGCUGUGGGGCUCAGAAGCAGGGCCAGGUGCUUCUUCCCACCAAGGGCACCUACAAGGGGAAGAGCUAGUUCUGAAUGGAGGCUGGGAUGCCACCUGACAGGUAGUGAAAGAGACAGUUUUGUUUCCGUGAAGAAGUCUCUGUCUGCAUGGAGGAAGUUCUACAACACACCAGGGCCCACGAGGACUCCGAGGAUGGAAGGCGAUGCACUGUAGGUCACUGUGGCCGGGCCUAACUCACCUCCUCCCCUGGACGAGGCAGGGCCCCUCGGGAGGAGAACAGGCGACAAGAGGACUUGGUGGAGCAAGGCCUGGCGAGAAGAGAGUCCUUCCCACCCAUUGACCAGAGAAACGUCGAGCAUCGUGUCCUGCAGACCCUAGCCAUGCUCCCUGUUCCAAUCAGACAUCCCUUGUGGUUUCCUUAUCUACACUACAAAGGUGCUGGAGCUGCAAGCCAAGCUUUUCCUCUCAUCAGGAC
rnacentral:lncRNA from 1 species